GGAAGCGUGGCUGAGUGGUUUAAGGCAGCGGUCCUUGAAAACCGUCGAGGAUGUGAGUCCUCCCAGAGUUCGAAUCUCUGCGCUUCCGCCA
rnacentral:tRNA from 1 species